ACUCGUGCGUAGAGUCAAUUUUUCCGGGGAAUGUCGAAGACGUACUAUGUAGUUCAGAUGUAGAAAGUUCUACUUUUCUUUUAAAUGUUAAAGAAAGUUUCAUAAAAACAAAUUGUAUAGCGAAUGUUCAGUACAAUAGGAAGCGUUAUUUUGUUCAAGCAAAUGGAGCCGAGGCAUAAUAUUUAAAGGAAUGUUAUUCAAAGAAAGCAAAUUCAGACAGCGGUUGCCUGGAUCAACACCCAGUACUGGGAUGCCUGGAACCUGUGUGACGAGGUGAUCGACUGGGGAGUCGGUGUGGAGGAGUGCUCACGAGCGACACCCCCACUGUCCAGGUUGGGGGGGAUAAGGAGGGAUUGGGAAGGGCUACUUGGGAAAAUGUGGAGGUAUCAGAAAGGGGCCUCCAAUGGUGAGAUGGAGGGGGCGGAGGCUGGUAUGAAUGUAAUGCAUAUGGUAAAUGGAGGUGAGGAGAAUGGAUGUGAGGUAGGAGUGAAUGUGGAGGAGGUUAAGGGAGAAGGAGAGAAAAGUAGAGGGAAUGCUUUGGGAUCUAUUGUGUCACAAGGAGGCAGAUCAUGGCUGGAAACCAUUCAGGAAGAAGGAUGUGAGGAAGAAGAAGAAACUGAGGUGGCGUUUCAGGAGGCACAAGAUGCUGAAGUUGCCCAGUUGGACAGAUGGUGUCCAUGUGGCUGGUGUAAGGAGAGCUCCUCAGGCAUCUCCAGCCUGUAAUUCCUGGGAAAUGCCACCUGCCACCCAUCCUUGGAAGCGUCGCCCAGUCUCAGGAUCUCAUACAUCACCAUUCAUCAGUCACAGCGCUUGCAGACAUCUGGAUAAAAGGAAAAGCCCAUUUUUUUAAAAACUUACACGUUAAAUUUUCCUCUAAUUACCAUUUUAUUCUUUUAAAUUUCAUUAUGUUUAUUUACAUUUAGUAUGGAUUAAGGCACAGUCAGCCUGGAUUAAGGCAUCCCCAGCCUGGCAUCAGACUCUCCGGACAAUGCCAGCCCAGAGGGGGCUGACCUGGAGAACAUUCCCCCGGAGGACAUGGAGUGGGAGCCUCCAGGUCUUGCCCUGAGUCCCACUCCGUGGUGUCAGCCCCGUGGCCAAAGUUUCCCCAGCCGAGGAGGCUAUUGCCGCGACAACGGCAGGGUCAACAGAAAUCCAGUCGUGAGCUGAGGUCCAGGAGGAAAAAACGAGGUUAUGCUACCCAGACCUGCCUCCUGAUCCAGGCUUGGUCCAAGAUGGUCUUUCAGGGUAUCCCAUUCAAUGAUUCCCAAAAGGAACCACAUCCGGUCUCCUCAUGGCGCAGGUACUGGCCUGUGUUUUUGUUUUGCAGGGUCCCUGGUUUGGUCCAGUUCCUGUCCUGCCUGCCCCUCGACACCCUCCGACUCUGCCAACCCCUCGCCGUCUACCGAUGCUGUUCUUCCCUCGGCUGCCGCAGACGAGUGGAGCUUCUACAGACCCAGACAGGAUUCCAAAGGCCCCCCUGGCCGUGACCCUUCUGCGGCACCCCGGAGCCCAUCAGAGGCCCUGAACUGUUCACUUUACCUCCCAUGCUACCUAGUGUCUUGCCCCUCCUAAUACCUCAGUCUUUGGUCUGUAGUCUUGCUUCCCCGUGGCUCUCCCUGGUUUCACCUCUUAGCCCGAUUUCACUGUUCCAGCCCCCACUCCAGUCACUCUUGCUUCCCGCUUUAGGUUCCCCUCUCCUGGCCAUAUUAUUGUUGCACUGGUUCCAUUGCUUGCCUGUCUUGUCUGGUUGUGUCCUGCCUUGUCUGUCCCUGUGCCAUCUUUGGUCCUUUUGAUGCCCAAUCCCUCCCUUUUGUCUCCUUCUACUGUGUCCUUUGUUCCCACUUACCCACUGACACCCACUGUCUGUCUUUUGGUCCAUAGUCAGCAUCCCUGUUGGAUUACCUGGCCUGUCAUGAGUUGUGUCCUGGGGGUUAGUCUCCCCUGUUGUCCUUGGUUUUGCCCUGGUCUGUGUGUCCCCUUAAUGAUGCCCUUGUACCCGGAGGGCACAGGAUUGGGAGGGGGGCGUUUACUGUCAUGUCUUGCCCAUUUAGUCAACCUUCCUCCCCUUCUGUCAGUCACUAUCAGCUUCCUUGUGUUUUCUCAUUCCUUAGUCUGGUAAAGUGCCCAGUCCUAUCUUCUCCAGUUGUGUCCUUGUCUGUUUGCGUCUCUGUGCCCAAACCUGCCUGUCAAUAAAACUCCCCA